rnacentral:rRNA from 1 species
AUUGAACGCUGGCGGCAGGCCUAAUACAUGCAAGUCGAACGGUAACAUAAGAAAGCUUGCUUUUCUUGAUGACGAGUGGCGGACGGGUGAGUAAUAUUUGGGAAACUACCUGAUAGAGGGGGACAACAGUUGGAAACGACUGCUAAUACCGCAUACAGCCUUAGGGUGAAAGAAGAAAUUCGCUAUCAGAUGUGCCCAAACGGGAUUAGCUAGUAGGUGAGGUAAAGGCUCACCUAGGCGACGAUCUCUAGCUGGUCUGAGAGGAUGAUCAGCCACAUUGGGACUGAGACACGGCCCAGACUCCUACGGGAGGCAGCAGUAGGGAAUAUUGCACAAUGGAGGAAACUCUGAUGCAGCCAUGCCGCGUGUGUGAAGAAGGCCUUCGGGUUGUAAAGCACUUUCGGUAGGGGAGGAAGGAAAAAUGACGGUACCGUUACCAGAAAGACCACGGCUAACUAACGUGCCAGCAGCCGC